GGUGAAAGGCCCCCUCGCCGUAAGCCCAAGGUUUCCUACGCAACGUUCAUCGGCGUAGGGUGAGUCGGCCCCUAAGGCGAGGCAGAAAUGCGUAGCUGAUGGGAAGCAGAUUAAUAUUUCUGCACCAUUGUGAAAUGCGAUGGGGGGACGGAUCGCGGAAGGUUGUCCGGGUGUUGGAAGUCCCGGUCCUUGCAUUGGAGAAGGCGCUUUGGCAAAUCCGGGCGCAGAAUUCAAGGGUGCGAGGCGAGCCACUUCGGUGGCGAAGCAACUGGAAGGGGUUCCAGGAAAAGCCUCUAAGCUUCAGUUUCACAGUGACCGUACCGCAAACCGACACAGGUGGGCGAGAUGAGUAUUCUAAGGCGCUUGAGAGAACUCGGGAGAAGGAACUCGGCAAAUUGGUACCGUAACUUCGGGAUAAGGUACGCCCUCAUAGCCUGACUGGCCUGCGCCAGAAGGGUGAAAGGGUUGCAAUAAACUGGUGGCUGCGACUGUUUAAUAAAAACACAGCACUCUGCAAACACGAAAGUGGACGUAUAGGGUGUGACGCCUGCCCGGUGCCGGAAGAUUAAAUGAUGGGGUGCAAGCUCCUGAUUGAAGUCCCGGUAAACGGCGGCCGUAACUAUAACGGUCCUAAGGUAGCGAAAUUCCUUGUCGGGUAAGUUCCGACCUGCACGAAUGGCGUAACGAUGGCCACACUGUCUCCUCCCGAGACUCAGCGAAGUUGAAGUGUUUGUGAUGAUGCAAUCUCCCCGCGGCUAGACGGAAAGACCCCAUGAACCUUUACUGCAGCUUUGCAUUGGACUUUGAACCGGUCUGUGUAGGAUAGGUGGGAGGCUAUGAAGUUGGGACGCCAGUCUCAAUGGAGCCGUCCUUGAAAUACCACCCUGAUCUGUUUGAGGUUCUAACCUUGGCCCGUGAUCCGGGUCGGGGACAGUGCAUGGUAGGCAGUUUGACUGGGGCGGUCUCCUCCCAAAGUGUAACGGAGGAGUACGAAGGUACGCUAGGUACGGUCGGAAAUCGUGCUGAUAGUGCAAUGGCAUAAGCGUGCUUGACUGUGAGACUGACAAGUCGAACAGGUGCGAAAGCAGGUCAUAGUGAUCCGGUGGUUCUGUAUGGAAGGGCCAUCGCUCAACGGAUAAAAGGUACUCUGGGGAUAACAGGCUGAUACCGCCCAAGAGUUCAUAUCGACGGCGGUGUUUGGCACCUCGAUGUCGGCUCAUCUCAUCCUGGGGCUGUAGCCGGUCCCAAGGGUAUGGCUGUUCGCCAUUUAAAGAGGUACGUGAGCUGGGUUUAAAACGUCGUGAGACAGUUUGGUCCCUAUCUGCCGUGGGCGCUGGAUAUUUGAAGGGGGCUGCUCCUAGUACGAGAGGACCGGAGUGGACGAACCUCUGGUGUACCGGUUGUCACGCCAGUGGCAUCGCCGGGUAGCUAUGUUCGGAAGAGAUAACCGCUGAAAGCAUCUAAGCGGGAAACUCGCCUUAAGAUGAGAUAUCCCCGGGGCUUCGAGCCCCUUGAAGGGUCGUUCAAGACCAGGACGUUGAUAGGUCAGGUGUGCACGUACAGUAAUGUACUGAGCUAACUGAUACUAAUUGCCCGUAAGGCUUGAUCCUAUAACAG
rnacentral:rRNA from 1 species